rnacentral:rRNA from 1 species
CCUACGGGAGGCAGCAGUGAGGAAUAUUGGUCAAUGGGCGCGAGCCUGAACCAGCCAAGUCGCGUGAGGGAUGACGGUCCUACGGAUUGUAAACCUCUUUUGCCGGGGAGCAAGCGUGCGUUCGUGAACGCGCGUCGACAGUCCCCGGAGAAAAAGCAUCGGCUAACUCCGUGCCAGCAGCCGGGGUAAUCCGGAGGGUGCGAGGGUUCUCCGGAUUUAUUUGGUUUAAAGGGUGCGUAGGCGGGCUGCCAAGUCAGCGGUAAAAAUGCGGGGCUAAACGCCGUCGAGCCGUUGAAACUGGCGUGCUUGAGUGGGCGAGAGGUAGGCGGAAUGCGUGGUGUAGCGGUGAAAUGCAUAGAUAUCACGCAGAACUCCGAUUGCGAAGGCAGCAUACCGGGGCGCUACUGACGCUGAGGCACGAAAGCGUGGGUAUCGAACAGGAUUAGAUACCCGGGUAGUC